CGGGUAUCCAACAGGUAGCGGAGCCGGUAACAAGUACGAUUUUUUUAUACGGGUCGGGUAAUGGGUAGGCAUUAUCCGUGCCCAAACGACUCGUUGUCAUUCCUAUCUCUGACCGUCUUCCCAAUAACAUUAUUGUCACCAUGAUAUACUACAACUUCAACUCUUUUAUGAUUUUCUUCAUGAAUAUCCUUACACUCAUCAUCCAUCAUUCUACCUCCAAUAUCAUUGUCAUCAAAAUUCAAUUUGUCAGCGGCUACUUCACUAUGAUGAUGGUUCUCC
rnacentral:lncRNA from 1 species